rnacentral:rRNA from 1 species
CCUACGGUGUGCAGCAGUGAGGAAUAUUGGUCAAUGGGCGCGAGCCUGAACCAGCCAAGUCGCGUGAGGGAGGACGGCCCUACGGGUUGUAAACCUCUUUUGCCGGGGAGCAACGGGCGUCACGUGUGGCGCCACUGAGAGUACCCGGAGAAAAAGCAUCGGCUAACUCCGUGCCAGCAGCCGCGGUAAUACGUAGGGAGCGAGCGUUGUCCGGAAUUACUGGGUGUAAAGGGAGCGUAGGCGGGGAUGCAAGUUGGGUGUCAAAACUACCGGCUCAACUGGUAGUCGCACUCAAAACUGCAGCUGUUGAGUGAAGUAGAGGCAGGCGGAAUUCCUAGUGUAGCGGUGAAAUGCGUAGAUAUUAGGAGGAACACCAGUGGCGAAGGCGGCCUGCUGGGCUUUUACUGACGCUGAGGCUCGAAAGUGUGGGGAGCAAACAGGAUUAGAUACCCCAGUAGUC